rnacentral:lncRNA from 1 species
AAAUAGUGCUAGCUUUUUAAGAGAGUUAAAUUGAAGUAAAUUUUCAAAUGGUGUGGAGAGUACUGUGCUAGAUAUGGGUAAAAACUGGAAGCAAUUCCUGUCUUCAUGGCCAUGUCAUCGUGUUAUUAGGACUACUAUAUGAGCAGAUUUCCUCCAGAUAAGUGUGGUUGUAGUUUGUGGUGGGACCAAGUAAGGACCAUAGUAGGCAGGCUCAUUGGUAGAAUGCGUUUGUUUCUUUUACAGCGGAAUGUGGCCAGAAUUCUUAAUCUGAUCAGCGACUUUAUGUUAAUGGUGUAGUUUCUCAACCAUACUUUUCAUCUUCUUCAGAAGGAAAACAUAAUUUGUUAACAGCCACAUAAAGAAAUGUGACCUGAAAAUUUUUGUUUAUCGUGGAUGCUAAUAAAUGUUCAUAUAAAAUUUUAUGCUGGUUUCUCUGGCAUAACAAAUUAUACUAAAAAACAAAAAACAAAUCAGUGUUUGCCAAAUGGAAAAAAAAAAGAUAGUUGAAAACAUUUUCACUGUUUUAAAUGUCUGCUUUUUUUAUGGAAGAAAAUAAAUUCUAACUUUGUUUUUCUUCUUUAUGAUCUUAUAAGUGAAGGUUCUUCAGGCCUGUUCUGUAUCAGAUUGUUUUAAAAUAUUUUCUGUUUUGCUUCUUCAUUCUUUCAUGGGGUUUACUGUGCCAAUUUUUAAUUUAAAAACCUUGGUUUUAUGUAUAAUGAAAUAAUUCCCAGAAUUUAUGUGUCUUAAUCAAAAAACAAUUUUGUUUUGAGUUCUGCCUGCAAACUUAAGUGUGUACAGGGAUGUUGUCUGCUCCAUGUCCAGAAUAAGACUUGGCCUGCUGACAGUGCCUGUAAUUACCAUAUUAACCAAUUGAUAAAAAUCUGUGAGUGUGUUAUCUUAUAUCUAUAGCUGGAGAGAUGGCUCAGAAGUUAAGAGCUCUUCCUGAUUUUCCAGAGGACCUGUGUUCAGUUCCCAGCACCCACGUUGAAUGACCUACAACCUCUUCUAAUUUGAGUUUUAGUUGAUCUGACACCUUCUUCUGGGCUCCUCAGGCAUCAGCAAAGACAUGGCUUGUGUACACACAUGAGGGUAUACACACACACACACACACACACACACACAGACAUAAAAAUGAAAAUAAUUUUUUAAAAAUUAAAAAGCAUUAAAUUAAAAAAUUAAAUAUUUAAAUGUAAUAUUGAAAUAAAAAGUUGUAUAGAAAUAAUUUACAAUAAUUUCAGUUAAAAAACAUGUAUUAGGGUCUGGCUUUAUAGCAUUAUACAGAACUUUCCUAGUAUAUUCUUAUAUAUGAAAACAACAGCAAACUUGAAUGUAAAUUCUUACUAUUUCUUGCUAGCUAGCAGAUCAUAUUUGAAGCAAAUCUAAUUUGAAUUAACUUUAGGAUGCAGUUUCAGUAAACUGAUAGCACAAUCUUUUGCUCACCUUAAUGCUAACACAUAAGACUGUAGAACCCUAGAGAUAUAAGGUCCACUGUAUGUGGGCCGUGCUUUAUAAGCUAAUGUGUUUUGAAGGCCGCAUGGGAGCAGACGAGGGUAUGUGGAUGGGGAUGAUGUCCCAGAAGAGCCAAACACACAGAUCUCAGCUGCUGAAAAUAAAAGGUACGUGACAGCAAUGAUCUCCUUGAGUCUUCACACCCUGACACAGCACCUGCCUAAGACUGGCUUCAGGAAAAGUGGAAAAGUACACCGUGUUAGCAAGCCGCCUUUAUAGUGAGAGGAAGUAGUGGGGGGAGAGGUUGAGGGCCUGGGAAUGAGCACCUACGGUAUUUCCUUUGGCAUUCUCUCUGUCUCGCUCCCCCUCCUGUACUAUGGCUUGAGCACAAAUCAUUGAGUGAGGUAAGCACUUUACCACUGAGCUACAUCCCUAGGCCUAUACCAUUAUUUUCAAGAAUAAGUUUUUUAGUAAAGUUUGGCAGGGCUUUCAGUGUAACCCUCUCUCAUUAUAAAAUAUAUAAAUUCGUUUGAAAGAAUGAAGGAGAAAUAACAUAAUUGAAUGGUGUUAUAAUGAAUUUGAAACAUCUGGGAAUUGUGGCUUGCAGAGAUGACACAGCGGUUAAGAAGUUAUACUGUUCUUGUAGAGGACUCAGACUUGAGUUCGAGCAAUACAUCUGAUGGCUUAACAGCUGCCCUUAAUUCCAGUGCCAGAGGAGCCUAAUACCUCAGCAGGCACAUACACACAUACAUACUUAAAAGGAAGUCAUGGUACUGCAGUUGGACUGAAAAUGGAUUGAGAAUAUCCCCUUAGUGUGAGUUUUUAAGUUUAUUUUUCAUUUAUUUUUGAUUAUUGGUGGGGUUUUAAUGCUUACACUGUAAAAUUAGUAUUCAAGUUUCUAUUGAUAACAAAGCAAAUAACUUUCUAGUUUUAUUUUGGUGCUUUUUUGUGUUGUCCAUAAGAAUGAAUAGUU